CUUCACAACUUCACUUUCAAGAUGAUGCUCAGACUCUCUGCUCUGGUGACAGUGCUCUGUCUACCCUGUUUAAAUGGUCAGGCUUUGGAGUCCAUUCCCUCCACUUCAGUGUUGAAAAAGCCUCAGGAAGCCUUCAGUCUUUCCUGUAGAGGGUCUGGUUUUGACUUUGGCCAGUAUGGAAUGCACUGGAUCAGACAACCAGCAGGAAAGACACUAGAAUGGAUGGGAGCAAUCUGGUAUGAUGCAAGUAAAACCAUUUAUGCCAGCAGUGUGCAAGGACGUAUAGAAAUCACCAGAGACAACAGCAACAGCAUGGUGCAUCUGAGACUUUCCAGCCUAAAGCCAGAGGACUCUGCUGCGUAUUACUGUGCUAGAAAGCCACAGUAA